UUGUGAGCAAAGGUACUCUGGUGCAGACC
rnacentral:piRNA from 1 species